rnacentral:rRNA from 1 species
GAUGAACGCUGGCGGCGUGCCUAAUACAUGCAAGUCGAGCGAACAGAUGAGGAGCUUGCUCCUCUGACGUUAGCGGCGGACGGGUGAGUAACACGUGGAUAACCUACCUAUAAGACUGGGAUAACUUCGGGAAACCGGAGCUAAUACCGGAUAAUAUAUUGAACCGCAUGGUUCAAUAGUGAAAGACGGUUUUGCUGUCACUUAUAGAUGGAUCCGCGCCGCAUUAGCUAGUUGGUAAGGUAACGGCUUACCAAGGCAACGAUGCGUAGCCGACCUGAGAGGGUGAUCGGCCACACUGGAACUGAGACACGGUCCAGACUCCUACGGGAGGCAGCAGUGGGGAAUCUUCCACAAUGGGCGAAAGCCUGACGGAGCAACGCCGCGUGAGUGAUGAAGGUCUUCGGAUCGUAAAGCUCUGUUGUUAGGGAAGAACAAAUGUGUAAGUAACUAUGCACGUCUUGACGGUACCUAAUCAGAAAGCCACGGCUAACUACGUG